GGCAGAUAAGUGCGGUGGAUUUAAGCUCCACAAAUAAAGUUUAAGCUUUCA
rnacentral:tRNA from 1 species